rnacentral:rRNA from 1 species
CCUACGGGAGGCAGCAGUGAGGAAUAUUGCACAAUGGGGGAAACCCUGAUGCAGCGACGCCGCGUGAGUGAAGAAGUAAUUCGUUAUGGAAAGCUCUAUCAGCAGGGAAGAAAAUGACGGUACGUGAGUAAGAAGCCCCGUCUAACUACAUGCCAGCAGCCGCGGGAAUACGUAGGGGGCCACCGUUAUCCGGAUUUACUGGGUGUAAAGGGAGCGUAGAUGGCAUGGCAAGUCUGGAGUGAAAGGCGGGGGCUCAACCGCCGGAAUGCAGUGGAAACUGUACGGCUGGAGUGCAGGAGAGGUAAGUGGAAUUCGUGGUGUAGCGGUGAAAUGCGUAGAUAUUAGGAGGAACACCAGUUGCGAAGGCGGCUUACUGGACUGUAACUGACGUUGAGGCUCGAAAGCGUGGGGAGCAAACAGGAUUAGAUACCCUGGUAGUC